rnacentral:rRNA from 1 species
UACGUAGGGUGCGAGCGUUAAUCGGAAUUACUGGGCGUAAAGCGUGCGCAGGCGGUUGGUUAAGUCUGAUGUGAAAGCCCCGGGCUCAACUUGGGAAUGGCAUUGGAAACUGGCUGGCUAGAGUGUGGCAGAGGGGGGUGGAAUUCCGCGUGUAGCAGUGAAAUGCGUAGAUAUGCGGAGGAACACCGAUGGCGAAGGCAAUCCCCUGGGCCUGCACUGACGCUCAUGCACGAAAGCGUGGGGAGCAAACAGG